rnacentral:lncRNA from 1 species
AUGUGCAGCCGUAGCCUCCUCGUUUGUCUUCUCAGACUCCAGAGAACCGUUGGGGAACUUUGGGGUGUGCUCGGAAAAUGCAGGAGCUUCAGAGCAGAGACAAGAGCCCAGAAAGGAGCAGAUGCUAGAUUUGCAAGAUCAGAAGCAGGUCUUGAUCCUCCUGCCCAGAAUGAACCAGACUUGAUGAUGAUGCCACCUUCAGGAGCCACCACACUGUGUGACAGUGGGGCAUUUGGGCCGUCCCUGGGAAGUACAGAUGCGCUGCUGUCACACAUGUCCACCACCACAUGUGACAUUAGUGACGUUAUCCUGAUGUCACAGGAUCCAAGAAUGAUGAUCUGUGAAGAGUUCUCCAAGGUCACCUACUUCUAACUCUUUUGAAAGAUUUAAAGACAUUGGGGCCUGAAAAUUUCAGUGACUUGUCCAGGGGAACGCAGUUUGUGACUGUUCACUCUCUCACAGGGUAAGUUACCAAAAGCAUCUAUCAAAGGGCCUUUUGAAGAAAUACUUCCAGCUGAAAUGAACAAUUAAAAAUUCCUGCCUUAAAUCCUCCCAUCUCUUUUACUAGGCUUUCCGUGGAUUGUGUAUACCAGGGGUUAAAUAAUAUUACUGAGAAAAAUAGAUAAAUGAUGCAUACUGAGUAUUUUUCUGCUAAGUUAACUUUAAUGAAGGAAUAGUGUCUUGUCAUUUGGUGUACUUUAAUUCAACUAAUCGGUUGUUUUUAUUUUUUUCUGUUAUUCAGAAGGACGCAUGCGUUAUUGUUAAAUCAAUCGAGUAAAGUUUAUGUUCACUCAGUAAAAAACUGCAGAUUUCAGCUCCAUGGUCAUUUCAGAAUCACACAAAGACAGGUGUUGCUGCCUGUCCAGGAUCCUUCUUUUGCCUUUUCAAUGCCCAGACGGCCCUGUGCCUAUGGGGAGGAUGAUCCCCAACUUGGGUGCUGAGAUUUGAGGAGGUGAAUCUAAGAGCUGUAAGACAGCUAAAUCUCAGGACCCCUGUCUUCUUUCUGUCCCCUCAGCUGAACCACAGUCCUCUGUACUCGCCCAGGAGCCACAGAAAGUGAACAUCCCUCAGGUGAGCUCUUUAUUCAUUCCCCAUUUUAUAUUGUAAUGGAUUUAUAAGGUUUAGCAGGAUCCAUGCAUUAAAGGAAAAGGAGAAGUAGAAAUAGUAGAAAUCAAGUCAGUCUUGAGGAAAAAUAUACCGUGUUUUACUAUUAAUUGUGAUGUUGGCUGUUAGCUUUGAGUGGGUAACUUUGUCAGGGGAAGUAGUUUCCCACUAAGCUACCUGUUUCAAUCUCUUUACUUGUGAUUGGGCUAUUCAGAUUUUCUGUUUCUUCUUGAUUCAGUUUUGGGAAGUUGUAUGAGUCUUAGAAUUU